rnacentral:rRNA from 1 species
CCUACGGGGGGCUGCAGUGGGGAAUAUUGGACAAUGGGGGCAACCCUGAUCCAGCCAUGCCGCGUGUGUGAAGAAGGCCCUCGGGUUGUAAAGCACUUUCAGUGAGGAAGAACGCCUGGUGGUUAAUACCCAUCAGGAAAGACAUCACUCACAGAAGAAGCACCGGCUAACUCCGUGCCAGCAGCCGCGGUAAUUCGGAGGGUGCGAGCGUUAAUCGGAAUUACUGGGCGUAAAGCGCGCGUAGGUGGCUUGAUAAGCCGGUUGUGAAAGCCCCGGGCUCAACCUGGGAACGGCAUCCGGAACUGUCAAGCUAGAGUGCAGGAGAGGAAGGUAGAAUUCCCGGUGUAGCGGUGAAAUGCGUAGAGAUCGGGAGGAAUACCAGUGGCGAAGGCGGCCUUCUGGACUGACACUGACACUGAGGUGCGAAAGCGUGGGUAGCAAACAGGAUUAGAUACCCCAGUAGUC